rnacentral:rRNA from 1 species
CCCUUAGAUGUUCUGGGCUGCACGCGCGCUACACUGAUGCACUCAACGAGUUUAUAACCUUGCCCGGUAGGGUUGGGUAAUCUUUUGAAAGCGCAUCGUGAUGGGGAUAGAUUAUUGUAAUUAUUAAUCUUCAACGAGGAAUUCCUAGUAAGCGCUAGUCAUCAGCUAGUGCUGAUUACGUCCCUGCCCUUUGUACACACCGCCCGUCGCUGCCUCCGAUUGAAUGAUCCGGUGAAUAAUUCGGACUGACGCUUUGAGUGGUUUCCACUCUUUGUGUUGGGAAGUCUAGUAAACCUUAUCAUUUAGAGGAAGCAAAAGUCGUAACA